rnacentral:rRNA from 1 species
GAUGAGCCCGCGUUGGAUUAGCUAGUUGGUGGGGUAAAGGCCUACCAAGGCGACGAUCCAUAACUGGUCUGAGAGGAUGAUCAGCCACAUUGGGACUGAGACACGGCCCAAACUCCUACGGGAGGCAGCAGUGGGGAAUAUUGGACAAUGGGCGCAAGCCUGAUCCAGCCAUGCCGCGUGAGUGAUGAAGGCCUUAGGGUUGUAAAGCUCUUUCACCGGUGAAGAUAAUGACGGUAACCGGAGAAGAAGCCCCGGCUAACUUCGUGCCAGCAGCCGCGGUAAUACGAAGGGGGCUAGCGUUGUUCGGAAUUACUGGGCGUAAAGCGCACGUAGGCGGAUAUUUAAGUCAGGGGUGAAAUCCCAGAGCUCAACUCUGGAACUGCCUUUGAUACUGGGUAUCUUGAGUAUGGAAGAGGUAAGUGGAAUUGCGAGUGUAGAGGUGAAAUUCGUAGAUAUUCGCAGGAACACCAGUGGCGAAGGCGGCUUACUGGUCCAUUACUGACGCUGAGGUGCGAAGGCGUGGGGAGCAAACAGGAUUAGAUACCCUGGUAGUCCACGCC